UUUUAACGUUCCUUUUGAGCGCGGGUAUUCCUCUCUCGAACUGUCAAUAUAAGUAUAUAAGUUGCAGGAUGAAAACAGGAUACUGUGCCGAGACUUGUCCAAAAAAAUGGGGUGCUAUAAAUAUGAUAUAUGAGUGUGUGGAAGACUGGAGUAAUCCCUUAAUGUGUUACGUAAACCAAUCUCCAAUCUAAGCGUAGCUCUAGGAUGUUGAAGCUUUUAUUUUGAGCCUGCAAAGUUCAUUUUCAUACGCCUGUAGUACCUAGUUAAAACCGACAAAUCAAGGAACGUGUCGGAUCGAUCCUGCCCAGAAAAUAAACAUACUUAACUUAAACAUUAAA